rnacentral:miRNA from 1 species
GAAUGAAAUAGAUAGACUGAGAAUCAUGGGAGUUGCAGUUCAGCAACAUCUGGAGGGCCUGAACCUGAUUCAGCCCCUAGGGCAGACUUCCCCAAACUUCGGCCCUCCAGAUGUUGCUGAACUACAACUCCUAUGAUUCUCAGUCUAUCUAUUUCAUUCA